rnacentral:lncRNA from 1 species
UGUGUGUAAGGGGAAAGAAAGGAAACGAGGAAAGAAGAAGAGGAAAAAAAAAACAAAGAAAAGACAAGACGGAGAAGAGAGAAAAAAAUUAACUUCAUUGCAUGUCCCUCUCAAGCUCCCUCGUUCCAUCAUCUCAACAUAGAAACAACUUCACACCAGUAAAAGAGGAUCAAGAAAAAGAGUGAAAUGAGAAAUUAUGAGAAAGAAGAAAAUGAAAGCUGAGAUUUCAAUAUAGGAAAAGAAAUUUAUCGUUCUUGCAUGUUGAAAAGAAAUAUUAAAACUUGAAGAGGAGUUAAAGUUUCACUUAGAGGAAAAGGAAUUAGAAUCAAACUUUGGGGUCUCAAAUAUUUUCUUAAGGUAACAUAGAAAAUCAUCUUAAAACAUCUUUUAGGAGUGCUUAGAGAUAUUGGUUUCAUGUUUCUAAUAUAUGUUCAUGAUUUGUAUAUUUAAG